CUGUAAAACUCAAUGCAUCUUUUAACAUCUAACAUAUGAAUUAAGUAUGACAGAUUAUAUUGUCUAUUAUUGUCCUAAUGUAAAUUUACAAAUUAUAAAUUUCAAUUUUUAAAUUGAUUUAUUACUUAAGUAUCUAUGACAAAUUCUUUUUUAAGAACGAUCGAUUAUAUAAUUUACUUUUUCCGUGUACCGUAACACAUAAAUAGUGAUAGUGUCACUUUAAUACCUGUGGGACGUUCAUUUGUAUAACUGAUAAAAUAGGUCAAGUUAUUUUCACCCGGUGACGAUUUGGGUAUAAAUUGAGCGUUUUCUCAUCAGAAUGAACAUUCACAAUCUUAAGCUAAUACACAAACAGACACACACACAGUGGAAAUUAUUUUGACAUUGCGAUACACUUAGGUAAAGACCACGUAUAAAAUGGCGGAUAAGAAGGAUACUAGCGCGUUACUACCCGUAGCCAUGGCAACGCUUUUCCAAAGCGGUUGUUUCUUGGGUGUCGGAUUAUUACGUCCAGCGUUAAAGUUUCUACCAAAGGAUCCAGUGACGUUGAUAGGAACCGUGUACGGAUUGGCGGCGGUGGACAUGAUCGCGUAUUUCUACUAUAAGAAUGGACAGAACAAAAAACAUGAGUGAUCUACCUGCUCACGAAAUACUUUUAAACUGAUCACAUACUACUGCAAUGACAUAGGAUUUCAUCGAAUGUACUCCGUAGUUCAUAGUUAUCAUGAUAUCAAACGUUAUUUAUAUGAAAGAAUGUACUGAUUUGUAGUAAACUAUCGCAGGUUCACUGUAUAAUUAUCAAAAUAGUAUGCAAUAAAUAAAAAGCGACAAGUGUCGUUUUUCAGAUUAUUGAAUUAUGUGUUAAUCUUAACGACACUCAUGUGACAAUUUAUUGUAAUGUUACAUUGUUCUAUGAUCCUUCUUGUAAAAGAUAUAAUGUACACAUAACUGGAAGUACAUUUAUUAAAUAGGUACGAUUCAAAGAUAUAAUUAUGUGAAUUUUGAAUAAAUGACUUAGAAAAUA